UACGAAGGGAGCUAGCGUUGUUCGGAAUUACUGGGCGUAAAGGGCGCGUAGGCGGGUUUCCAAGUCGGGGGAUGGAAAUUCCAGGGCUCAAACCCUGGGACGGCCCUUCGAUACUGGGAGCCUGGAGAUCGGGAGAGGUGAGUGGAAUUCCGAGUGUAGAGGUGAAAUUCGUAGAUAGUUCGCAAAGAACACCCAGUGGCGAAGGCGGCUCACUGGCCCGAUACUGACGCUGAGGUGCCGGAAAGCGU
rnacentral:rRNA from 1 species